UGGACAAGAGAGAGCUGCGGCUCCAGCUACCUCUCAUAGCAAAACUCUUCUGGUUCUGAAGUUAGGACGAGAAAAUGGUGUCACCUCUCUGUCAAAAGAAGCAUCAACUCCAGCUAACAACACUGGCAAUAGACUAGCUAAUUGCCCUCCUGUUGUGACCAGUCCAACUUCAAGGGUAGCUUCCCUUGAAACCAAGGCUGUCGCAUUGUCACUGAAGCCACGGUUUCCUGCAGAGAAGAGAUAUUCUCUUUCUCAAGCCCAAAGCAGGAGUGAUUUUUUCAAUUUA
rnacentral:misc_RNA from 1 species